CGGAUUGCAGGCUGCAACUCGCCUGCAUGAAGCUGGAAUUGCUAGUAAUCGCGGAUCAGCAAGCCGCGGUGAAUACGUUCCCGGACCUUGUACACACCGCCCGUCACACCAUGAGAGUCGGGAACACCCGAAGUCCGUAGUCUAACCGCAAGGGGGGCGCGGCCGAAGGUGGGUCCGGUAAUUGGGGUGAAGUCGUAACAAGGUACC
rnacentral:rRNA from 1 species